UACGGAGGGUGCAAGCGUUGUUCGGAAUCAUUGGGCGUAAAGCGCGUGUAGGCGGACGGGCAAGUCAGAUGUGAAAGCCCUUGGCUUAACGAAGGAAGUGCAUUUGAAACUGCUCGGCUUGAGUACGGGAGGGGGAAGUGGAAUUCCCGGUGUAGAGGUGAAGUUCGUAGAUAUCGGGAGGAACACCGGUGGCGAAGGCGGCUUCCUGGACCGAUACUGACGCUGAGACGCGAAAGCGUGGGGAG
rnacentral:rRNA from 1 species